GCGUAUAUUAAAGUUGUUGCAGUUAAAAAGCUCGUAGUUGAAUUUCGGGGUCAGUAGGUUGGUCGUGCCUCUGGUAUGCACUGGCUUUACUGAUUCCUCCUUCUUGAAGAACUGUAAUGUCAUUAAUUUGGUGUUGCAGGGAAACAGGACUGUUACUUUGAAAAAAUUAGAGUGUUUAAAGCAGGCA
rnacentral:rRNA from 1 species